GGGCGCGUAGCCUAGCCCGGAUAGGGCACUGGCCUCCUAAGCCAGGUGUCAGGGGUUCGAAUCCCCUCGCGUCCG
rnacentral:tRNA from 1 species